GACGAACGCUGGCGGCGUGCUUAACACAUGCAAAUCGAACGGAAAGGCCCUGCUUUUGUGGGGUGCUCGAGUGGCGAACGGGUGAGUAACACGUGAGUAACCUGCCCUUGACUUUGGGAUAACUUCAGGAAACAGGGGCUAAUACCGGAUAGGAGCUCCUGCUGCAUGGUGGGGGUUGGAAAGUUUCGGCGGUUGGGGAUGGACUCGCGGCUUAUCAGCUUGUUGGUGGGGUAGUGGCUUACCAAGGCUUUGACGGGUAGCCGGCCUGAGAGGGUGACCGGCCACAUUGGGACUGAGAUACGGCCCAGACUCCUACGGGAGGCAGCAGUGGGGAAUAUUGCACAAUGGGCGGAAGCCUGAUGCAGCAACGCCGCGUGCGGGAUGACGGCCUUCGGGUUGUAAACCGCUUUCGCCUGUGACGAAGCGUGAGUGACGGUAAUGGGUAAAGAAGCACCGGCUAACUACGUGCCAGCCGCCGCGGUAAAAC
rnacentral:rRNA from 1 species